UUAACAGCUGAAAGAGACUGUAGGCCCGAGUAUUUUGUAUAAACUUCGACUGGUACCAUUACGCGCUUCUAAGAAAAAGGUUCUUGAAAGAUAGACUGACGGACAUCAAAUUGAUCCUAUAAGGGUUUCUUUUGAGGUGCGGUACCCAUCAAUUUGUUAGUGUCUCUUGCAUCAUUACGAUGUAAAUCAUGUACUUAUAUGAAUCAAAAGAACAAAUCACAUGUGAACCCAUGGCGGUCGGCAGAAGUGUCAGUGCUAACAUGUCUCCGCUAUGACUUUCUCAUAAUAUGACUAUCGACAGGGCUCAAAGAUCAAAACAGAUUCAUUUAGUAUUAAGCGCUCAUUUUAAUUUGCGUGUAAUCGAGUUAAGUAGGAAGAUAUUUUCUGUUCGGAGUAUUUUUUUAUGUAAUAUUUUAUUAUUAAAAUCCUAGAUGUUUUAUUAACCCAUUCUUUUAUUUUGUUUCAGGUAUUGUUUGUAGUUUAAUAAAGAAAGCGAAACUUCGAAGGUUCGUAAUAUAAAGCUGUCUUUUUGGAGUAUGUCGCAGUAAGCUCGUGAUACCAUAUGGACGACAACGAAAUUGCUUCGAAAAAGUACAAAAAACCCAGCAUCAUGAUGACCUGAUUAUAUCGGCCGGGCCUCGAACCCCGAUAUCCGCAGGUGACCACCCGACAGGAAGCCACGGGUCGCGGCGAAAGCCUUUUGUGUACGGCUGUAAGCGACCGCCGGCUUCCGGCGCGGGAUUUAUUGCGGCAUCCUAGCUAGUAAAGAUCUGGGUCUAGAUAAAGUAAAGUUGCAGACUACUCUGGUAUUGCUGGACGUUAUGUAACGUAAUAACAAAAAACUGUUGCAUGAAUGUGCUAUACAUAUAUUAAACAACAGGACAAACUGCUGCCCAAAAAGAUCUCUCUCAUAUAUUUCUACGGCUUCGUAUUAUCUUUUCCAUUUUCGUAUGAAUUAAAUCCUCUCGGGCGGCCCAUAAAAGUAAUAAGGAAAUGUUAAAUAAACACAAUGGUUAUUUUUUAGAUUUGUAAAAGCCUUGCCAUGGCUAUUUUACGUAA